rnacentral:rRNA from 1 species
GACGAACGCUGGCGGCGUGCCUAAUACAUGCAAGUAGAACGCAGUUGCGAACGGGUGAGUAACGCGUAGGUAACUGCCUCAUAGCGGGGGAUAACUAUUGGAAACGAUAGCUAAUACCGCAUCCUCUGAGCUGGACCUGCGUUGUAUUAGCUAGUUGGUGAAGUCAAGGCUCACCCAGGCGAAGAUACAUAGCCGCCCGGGGAGGUGGAUAGGCCAACCUGGAAAGAGUGAAAGGCCCAGACUUCUACGGGAGGGAGCAGGAGGGAAUCUUCGGAAAUGGACGGAAGUCUGACCGAGCAACGACGCGUGAGUGAAGAAGGUUGUCGGAUCGUAAAGCUAUGUUGUUAGAGAAGCGGUAACUAACCAGAAAGGGACGGCUAACUACGUGCCAGCAGCCGCGGUAAUUC